rnacentral:lncRNA from 1 species
GUUGUAUUUGUGCUGGACAUGUUACAGCUGUGCCUGAAGCUGCUCAGUACACCAGCAUGCUUAAAUGUGGUAUCACAGGUCUUGGACGUGUAUUUUCGUAAUCAUUACUUGACGUGUUAAUUCUGGAAUAAGGGAUGUGCCAGCUGUGAGUCAGAUCCUCUUUCAGUGUGUCUGAGUGGUGGUUCCCUCUGCUCCACUCAGUCCAUCUCACACAGAGGCCCUCUUGUUGUAGUCUUUAAAAGAGGAAGGAAGUCAAACUGAUAUCACUUCCUUUCCUGCUCUUACUGUAAAAAAAGAAAAAAAGAUUAUUAUACCAUUGCAGGCACUCACACCUCCGUGGCUGAUUGUUGUCUGGACGGGCUGUUCGGAGCAGGGCACACAUGGUGGGCUUUGAAGACUCUGAUGGGCACGGAGGCUGAACUGUGAGGAGACAUGGAAGCCGUGGUUGGACUGUUGGUGGUGUUGCUCGGACUCGGAGCCUGUCACGGUGUGGACACAUACUGUGAUGGCAGACAGGAUGGAGCUCAGUGUUAUAGAGCUGUGGGAGCAUCUGUGACUCUCAGGCUGAUGGAUGAUGCUUCAGAAAUACCUAGAUUCCAAUGGAAAAAAGGAUUAUCAGUGAUACUCCUGUGGAGAAAUAAUAAGAUUACAAAUCAAUUACAAGACAGAUCUGAGUUUAUUCUCUCUAAUGGAACAUUUAGGAUCAAUAACCUGAGCAGGGAUGAUGGUGGUGAAUAUGUCCUUGAGAUGUUUGAUAGUUCAGGGAAAAAUAUAUCACAGCGGUCUCUACAUCUGUCUGUUGAAGCUCCUGUGUCCUCUGUCCUGCUGACCUCUGAGUGUCUGACCAGUGGACAGAAGAGGCUGUCCUGCUCCUCUGGGGGAGGGGACAGUCCUCAGUGGAGCUGGACUCUGGAUGGACGUCCACUGACAGAUGCUGAGCUCGAAUCUGGAAACAGUGAGACCAACAACAUCACUGUGAAACAUGGCGUCUCAGGAUAUCUGGUCUGCACAGUCAGUAACCAUGUCAGCAGAGUCUGUGGCUUUGUGGACAUUAAGUGUGAACUGUCCAAUGAGACACAAAGAUCAGACCAAGUGUUUGAAAGUAAUCACACCGUGUGUGUCAAACCGACAACAGCCCCUACCACUACCACUACUGGGGAAAUCUGGCCAAUAAUGGCUGGCGUUCUCUCAGCAAUGGUAAUUUUCUUGGUUCUUGGCGUAACAGUGAUCCUUCUUCAGAUGAAAAAGAAAAACAACAGUCCAAGAGAGGAAGAUGACCAGGAACUGACCUAUGCUGAUGUUAGGGUUGUGAAGCGGCAGGGAAGACAGGCAAAGCAGGAGAACCAAAGGGCGGAGGAUGAGGUGGAGUAUGGCCAGGUCAAGUUUUCAGAGCGCCCUCGGCAGACUGUUCCAGCAGCAGCAGCAGAGGACGAGUGUCUGUACUCCAUGGUCCGUAAAGGCAGGUGAUGUGCUUUGAUAAAGACUCAGACGCGUGACUUCCCAUCAAGCCAUCAAUUUGUUUCACUUUUCUUUACUGUCAUAUAUUUGGGGCAUCAUCUGGUCGGAGCUAUAGGCCUAACAUUACCAUCCCUGCCUGAAGAGACUGCACUCAAAAGGAUACACCUUAAAACACAAGUAAUAAUAAUUAUGUGUUACCUCAACGUUAUUUUGGAAUAACAUAAAUUUCAUCGGAAUGCUGGCCACGAGAACUCACAGGCUUAUGAUGGUGUGUGUGUGUGUGUUGGGGGGAAGUGUUUUUAUCUGCCUUCAUCUCUGUGGUUUAGAUGAUUUAAGAAGUGUUUUGGGUUUCUCACAGUAAGCACAAAUUUGUUUCCAUGAAGUAAAAGCUUCUGCUUUUUCUCUCCUCCUCUGUUGCCAAAGUAUUGCAGAUUUUGUAAGUUGUUUCACCGGCUCCUGUUUGAGUGAGUUGUGUAAACUAUAAUGGUGCUCCUGUCUCCAUAUCUUAAACUGAUAUAACAUCAGUACAGCUGAUCCAUCCACAUAUGUGUUCAUAUGUGCCGAUUAAGCAUUUUUUUCUUUUUUCACUGAAACUCGGCAACUAAUGUGGUGUUCAGUAUGCACCAUUACAGGUGUAGGAAGGAAGGCAGCGUCUGAGCUGAGUGAUUGUUUAUCUUUGAAAUCCAUCAAGGUUUCUAUUUAUAGUUUGAUGCGCAACAGUUUCAAAUGAACCAAUGAAAAACGGAAAACAUACAACAUCAAUGUGAUACAACCAGAGAUAUUUACCUUUCAUGUGCAGAUUUUAUAUUGCAUUAGGUUAUUUAACAUUCAAGCCUGGACAACUGUAGAAGUAUUUAUACUGAAGUGGUUAUUUUAUAUCGACCAACAAUAUGUCAGUCAUCAGGGAAAAAAGGACUGGACACAUUAAGUAGUUUUUGUUAUUUCUGAAUUGCUGUGCAGAAGUCUUUGUUGGAGUGCUUUAAAUGCUUUGUGAAUUUUGCAGCACUUUUAUAGAGGUUUUCUUUUUUUUUUCCGGAGCUAUUUUCAAACCGUACUUGUAGUGUUAAUUAAUAGAAUGUGUUUAAGGCGCCUGUAAAAAACAACUGUGUAUUAUCAUGUGUUAAGUUUAGUGCAGUUAGUGCAGUAGUGUGGUUCACUGUUAGUUUAGUUCUGUCUUAUGUGGUCAGAGAGAAUGCACCAAUCACUGGUGUACUUGUGUAUAUAUGUAUAUAUAUUAUAUAAUAUGUAUGUAUAUUUAAUAUAAUUAUAUAUAUUAUAUAUAUAAUUAUGUGUGUGUGUGUAGGGUAUUUAAAGGUAGGGUAGGAGAUUUCCUUCUGAUGCACUUUAUGUUCAAUUAGUUUGACUUCUCUUUACAAUCCGGUAGCAACCAAUUAGUUUGGCAGCUUCGCAUUAAAACAAAGAAUAUAAAUCAUCUGUGGAAGCUAUAAAAUGCUAAAAACAUCAGCCAAUCCUCCGGGUGGACCCUGCGUGGAGUAUUGGCUGGUUGUCACUCUCUUCCUGCUCUGCGUGCACCAGAGAGGAACGUGCAUGAUGGCCGAAGUCACAGGCCGCAGCUCGUCUUCAGGUUAAUGCGCGUCCAUGUGAUUGGGAGGCGUGGCUUCGGGGUGAGCUCCAAGAGGAAGGGGCGUGUGUUUACUUUUGAAAUCUGGCUGACUCUCACUGAGUUUUCAAAAUCUCCUACCCUACCUUUAAUUUAAUGAAUAUAUAUAUAUAUAUAUAUAUAUAUAUUUAAUUGAAAUAUUUUUUGUAAUGAUUCCUUUUUUUUGUGUACAUGCACUGUUGUGUGACAGUAUGUGCUUCAGUUUGUUGAGAUGUUUACUGUGGGAUUAAUCAAAGACAGAGGUUAUACAGUAUGUUCGGUUUGAUAGUCUAGGGUUAAAGGUUGACAGUCAUUCAGCUGAUUCACACUGCCAUAAAAAUUACGAUCCACAAUAGUAUAAUGUCCUUAAAUAACCUCCAGAAAUCCUUUUUAUUCUUGUGUUUUAUUACACUUAUUCUUUUCUCAAGUCACUCAAUACUACUUUGCUUCAUCAUCAUCAGCGUUGGUUAAUCCUUUACACAGAAAACCCACAGGGACUGUUACACCCGAACUCUGGAUCAAUUUGUUACAUCAGAAUUAAACAUUUAUUUUGUCCUUAUGAAAGCCAGGAGGUUUUAUCUCUGUCAUGACUCUUUCAUGUGAUGUUUUCUUUCCAUGCCAAAGCUAUUAAACAAUAAAACC